CUUGACUGCUUUUUGUGAAGUUAUAUUGCCUGGCUGAAGAUUUUUUCACCGGUUUGGUCUACCUCUACCACAGCCCCACAUCAGCCAGGCCCAGAUUUCAGAGGUUUUGAAAUUGAGUUGAAUCAGCAUCCUGGGAAAAUGGAAGCCUUGUGCUGGACAGAAACACAGGGGUGGAGAAAAUAAUUCUACUGUGAUGCUGCUAAUGUUAUAUGAUAUUGAAGACAUCCACAUGCUUGCUAUUCUCACGCUUAAGAGAUGCAGAAUAUCACACAUCUGCUAGGCAUGACUUAUUGUGGAAGGAUCAGCGUCUUGAAUCAACAAGAACUCGCCAAGGCACUCUGCACCAAUGUUUAUGGUUGCUUUCUUGCUGCUGGUCCUGUAACUUGGUCCUCUGCCAUCUGAAUUACCUUGUCAUUUGUGCUAGUCUUAAUUCAGUUCUUACUGAGUAAUCUGCAAGGAGAAACAUCUAUUGGCUGUAAGAAUAACAGCACAGAACGGAAAAGGAAAGCUUGUCUCUUUAAUCAGUGCUGAAAGAAGAAUGAAUUUGGAUGAAG